AGCAUUUGUGUGUGCUUUGUUUAACUUGUGAACAAAGACUUACAGAUAGCAAAAAAAAAAGAGCUCCUCCUUUGAAACUCAGAGCUCAUUGUUCACCAUGAGUUUUGAUGUAUAUAAGAAUAUG
ensembl:snoRNA